UACAGAGGGUGCUAGCGUUGUUCGGAAUCACUGGGCGUAAAGGGUGCGUAGGCGGGUCUUUAAGUCAGGGGUGAAAUCCUGGAGCUCAACUCCAGAACUGCCUUUGAUACUGAAGAUCUUGAGUCCGGGAGAGGUGAGUGGAACUGCGAGUGUAGAGGUGAAAUUCGUAGAUAUUCGCAAGAACACCAGUGGCGAAGGCGGCUCACUGGCCCGGUACUGACGCUGAGGUGCGAAAGCGUGGGGAGCAAACAGG
rnacentral:rRNA from 1 species